ensembl:lincRNA
GGAUACUCAGCCUAUAUUUUCCUCCUGUCUCUUCACAGCCUGUUCUCUCUGGCAUGUAAGUUCAGCCACAUCCUUCUACACACAGUGAGCACGUCUGUGCCGAGAGGUCCUUACUUGCAGGGGUUUUAGGAUGUGUCCCUGGGACUAGAAGAUACUCAGGUAGCAACUAUGUCUGCAACGGGUGCAUUUGUCUGGUUCAUGAGAAAGAAGAAACCCCACAAAUCAUAUCCAGUCAGGCAACAGACAACUGAUAUCUCCCAAGUGACUUUGCAAGGCUCUUGUUACCCAGGAUCCUGAGGGGUUUGUUGCCUUGGGAACCAUAGGUGAGGAUAAUUAACACAGCUCCUCAUUUUAGUCACUCUUCCAUUUUCCAGUUAACUUCCUGUAGACAUGGCAGCUGCGUGGCUGCCAGACCCACCCUGUGACGUAUUCCUUCUUCUGGAAGUUAGCGUGGCCCUUGGGGGGUCCAACUAGAGAGAGAGAGUGAAGACUCUGCUCUCCACUUGGGCCACAUGCACAGUGACCUCUGGCGUCUGUCUCCUGGACUCCGGUCAGCAGCUGUGAUGCAACGCGACCCAGGCAGGGGGGUUCGGAGGAUGGCCGGGGAGCCAGGGUGCGGAGAAGCACGUUACUAUCCUCUCCCUGCGAGUGGGACUGGCACCCCGGCUCCAGCUCCAGCCAGAAAUACUCCACUGAGCACAGGCCCUGGUCAGGGCACAGCCUGCCUUCCCAGGCAGCAGGCAUGGAGGAACUGAAAUGGGAACAGUACACUGUGACCCUACAGAAGGAUUCCAAAAGAGGAUUUGGAAUUGCAGUGUCUGGAGGCAGAGACAACCCCCAUUUUGAAAAUGGAGAGACCUCCAUCGUCAUUUCUGAUGUGCUUCCAGGUGGACCUGCCGAUGGUCUGCUUAAAGAAAAUGACAGGGUGGUCAUGGUUAACGGCACCUCCAUGGAGGGUGUGCUCCAUUCGUUUGCAGUUCAGCAGCUAAGGAAAAGCGGGAAGGUCGCCGCCAUCGUAGUCAAGCGCCCACGGAUAGUCCAGGUGGCCCCACUCCAGGGCAGCCCUGCCCUCAGUCACGAUGACCGGGCUUUUGAUGUGAUGGACGAGUUCGAUAGCAGAAGUUUCCGCAGCGGGUACAGUGAGAGGAGCCGGCACAGCAGCCGUGAAGAGUUUAACCGCAGCUGGGAGGGCAGCCUGGACAGGAGCCGUGGCCACCACCGACACCAAGAUCAGGACCGCAGCCGCGGCCAGAGCCUAGAGCGAGGCCUGGACCGUGAUGAUCGCCGUGCCCGGGACCGCAGCCGCGGCCGGAGCAUCGACCGGGACUACGAGCGGGAUUAUGAGCGGAACUAUGAACACGCCUACCACCAGGCCUAUGGGCAGGACAGCCCGUCUGGGGAGAAUCGCCGCCGGGUCCAGCCGGAGCCCCGCUAUGAGCACCCCAGGAGCAGGAGCCAGGAGCACUUCCACUCGCAUAGCCCCAGCCCUGAGCCCCGGGGCCAACCUGCACCCGACAGGCACAUCGGGGUCCUCCUGACGAAGAGCAAAGCCAGUGAAGAGUAUGGUCUCCGGCUAGGCAGUCAGAUCUUCAUCAAGGAAAUGACCAAAACAGGUCUGGCAUCGAAAGAUGGCAACCUUCAUGAAGGGGAUCUGAUCCUCAAGAUCAAUGGGACUGUCACUGAGAACAUGUCAUUAAUUGAUGCUGGGAAGUUGAUAGAGAAGUCUAGAGGAAAACUCCAGCUUGUCGUGUUCAGAGACAGCAAGCAGACACUCAUCAAUAUCCCAUCACUGAAUGACAGCGACUCAGAAUUAGAAGAUAUCUCAGAAAUGGAGUCAGUCCGAUCAUUUUCUCCAGAGGAAAGACGCCAGCAGUAUUCUGAUUAUGAUUACCAUUCCUCCAGUGAGAAGCUGAAGGAGAGACCAAGCUCGAGGGAGGAUGCACCGCCAGGCAGACUGUCUAGGAUGGGUGCCACACCCACUCCGUUCAAGGCUUCAGGGGACAGUGCUGCUGCUUUCGUCACAGACACCAAAAAGGAACCCAGAUCCCAAGAGGAAACCCCUGCGCCUCUACCCAGAACAGCCCCAAGAACUUUUCUCCGUCCUAGUCCUGAAGAUGAAGCAAUAUAUGGCCCUGACACCAAGAUGUUGAAGUUCAAGAAGGGAGACAGUGUGGGCCUGCGGUUGGCUGGUGGCAAUGAUGUUGGAUUGUUUGUUGCUGGCAUUCAAGAGGGUACUGCCGCGGAGCAGGCAGGCCUGCAGGAAGGAGACCAGAUUCUGAAGGUGAAUACACAGGACUUUAGAGGACUGGUUCGGGAGGAUGCCGUUCUCUACCUGUUAGAAAUUCCCAAGGGUGAAAUGGUGACCAUUUUAGUUCAGAGCCGAGCUGAUGUGUACAGAGACAUCCUGGCUUGUGGCAGAGGUGAUUCGUUUUUUAUAAGAGCCCACUUUGAGUGUGAGAAGGAAACUCCACAGAGCCUGGCCUUUACCCAUGGGGAGGUCUUCCGUGUAGUGGACACACUGUAUGAUGGCAAGCUGGGCCACUGGCUGGCUGUGAGGAUCGGAAAUGAACUGGAGAAAGGCUUAAUCCCCAACAAAAGCAGAGCUGAACAGAUGGCCAGUGUCCAGAAUGGCCAGAGGGACAAUGCUGGGGACAGGGCAGACUUCUGGAGAAUGCGUGGCCAGAGAUCCGGGGCAAAGAAGAACCUGAGGAAGAGCCGAGAAGACCUGACAGCUGCGGUGUCAGUGAGCACCAAAUUCCCAGCAUAUGAAAGGGUUCUUCUGCGAGAAGCUGGUUUCAAGAGACCUGUGGUGCUAUUUGGCCCCAUAGCAGAUAUAGCAAUGGAAAAGUUGACAAAUGAGUUACCUGACUUGUUUCAAACAGCAAAGACAGAACCAAAAGACGCAGGAUCUGAGAAAUCUACUGGAGUAGUUCGGUUAAAUACUGUGAGGCACAUUAUUGAGCAGGAUAAGCAUGCCCUCCUAGACGUGACUCCAAAAGCUGUGGACCUGUUGAAUUAUACCCAGUGGUUCCCAAUUGUGAUAUUUUUCAACCCAGAUUCUAGACAAGGUGUUAAAAUCAUGAGACAGAGAUUGAAUCCAUCAUCCAACAAAAGUUCUCGAAAGUUAUAUGAUCAAGCCAACAAGCUCAAGAAAACCUGUGCACAUCUUUUUACAGCUACAGUCAACCUAAAUUCAGCCAAUGAUAGCUGGUUUGGCAGCUUGAAAGACACCAUUCAGAAUCAGCAAGGACAAGCAGUGUGGGUCUCUGAAGGAAAGAUUGAAGGGAUGGAUGAUGACCCCGACGACCACAUGUCCUACUUAACCGCCUUGGGCGCGGACUAUCUGAGUUGCGACAGCCGCCUCAUCAGUGACUUUGAAGACACGGAUGGCGAAGGAGGUGCCUACACUGACAAUGAGCUGGAUGAGCCAGCCGAGGAGCCGCUGGUGUCUUCCAUCACCCGCUCCUCGGAGCCGGUGCAGCAUGAGGAGAACAUAAGGAAACUCAGCCCAGAGCCACCAGCUCAGAUGAGGAGGGCUGCUAGCAGAGAUCAACUUAGGGACAGUAGCCCACCCCCAGCAUUCAAGCCAGAGCCGCCCAAGACAAAACCCCAGAACAAAGAAGAAUCCUAUGACUUCUCCAAAUCCCAGGAAUACAAGUCAAACCCCUCUGCUGCGGGUGGCGAUGAAAUUCCCAGGACAGCAGCCAGAGGUUGUCCUCCCCCUGUUGCGGUGAAACCCUCCUUUGGACGAUCCCUCCAGAAGCCCUCUGUCCCUGUCCCUGUCCCUGUCCCUCCCCCUGAGAGUGAGGAGGUCGGGGAGAGCAUCGAGGAGCAAGAGGACACUCCCAAAUCGGUCCUGGGCAAAGUCAAAAUAUUUGAGAAGAUGGAUCAUAAGGCAAGACUACAGAGGAUGCAGGAGCUCCAGGAAGCACAGAAUGCACAGAUUGAAAUUGCUCAGAAGCAUCCUAGUCUCUAUGCAGUUCCAAUCAAAAGCCCCAAGCCAGAUGCCGGCCUGCUGCAGCACACGAGUUCCAGACCCCCCGAGCCGCAGAAAGGCCCCUCCAGACUCUCUCAGAAUAUGCAAGGAAGUUACGGAAGUGACGCAGAGGAGGAGGAGUACCGCCAGCAGCUGGCAGAGCACUCAAAGCGCAGUUACUACGCCCAGCCCGCCAGGUACCGGGACACCGAAUUGUAGCGUCUGAACGUGGACUUUCUGGGCCCAUCAGACGCUCCUGGGAGGCACUGGGAUCAUUCUUCCACGGCAGAAACGCACUGGGUGUGGUGGGAACCAAAUGCGGGUUCUCCUGGGGGCCCCAGGUGCCAGCCAGCAUACUAAGACUCUGUGGAACCAGGGUGGAGAAGUUUAUUAUGGCUUUGUGCUCAGAAUUGAGAGGAACACUGCAGUCAGAUACUGUUACUUGCUUCAGUGAACCAAAAUCUGUAUUAAUGCUGUCGGUGUGUUUUUUAUAUGUAUAUUAAGAAGCAAUAACUCAAGGACGGCUUGAGGCUGAAUGUGAAAAAAAGGAAUAAAAUACACUGUUCGAUCAAACUAAAUUUAAAUUUAAAGUAUUUUACUAUAAAGUGCCUUUGAUAAGAACUGUCUUAAAUUCUUCCUUAAAGCUUUAUGCAAAGCCAUAAUGGACUAAAACUUUAUCUUGGCUACAUUUUUUAUACCAGUUUAAUAGCUAUGGUUUUUCCCUGCACUGUGUCAUCUUUUCAAAGUGUUCAUCUUUGUAAUAUUUUCUAUAAAUUCUGAUUGUACAUAUAAUAGCUAUCCUUGGUAAUUUGGCUGUAAAGUGCUAAAAAACUUGAAGGCCAAGAAGUUGGUAUGGGAACUUACUUGUUUAAAGUCAUGUGCUCCACAACAGAAGAUAGUAGAGAAGAGCAUUUUACUUCCACAAGUGUGUGUAUUCAUGGCCGUCAGUUUUAUAAUUUAAUAAAAAGGAAGAAUACAUUGUAAUCAAUGACGUGCUUUGUGGUGAAUUUCUGCACGCCGUGCGCGCGCACACACACACACACACAGCCCAUGCUGAGGACUGAACUCAAGGCGUUGAGGUACACAAGCAAGUGCUCUGCUGGUGAGCUACGCCCUCAGCCUUCCUGUUUUUAAGUGUAACUUUUAUUUCAGUUACUCAUCAUACAAGUGGAAACUGGUUCAUUGCUGAACAGGGAAUGGAGCGCGUAUGAGUAACAAAAUAAAGACUACUGAUAAUCUUGCA